CACACCGCCCGUCACAUCACGAAAGCCAGUUGUACUAGAAGCCGGUGAAUCAACCGCAAGGGGAUAGCCGUCCAAGGUAUGACUGGUGAUUGGGGUG
rnacentral:rRNA from 1 species